rnacentral:rRNA from 1 species
UUGACGGGGAGCACCACACGGGUGGAGCUUGCGGUUUAAUUGGAUUCAACGCCGGAAUCUUACCGGGACCGACAGCAAUAUGAAGGCCAGGCUGAAGACUUUGCCGGAUUAGCUGAGAGGUGGUGCAUGGCCGUCGUCAGUUCGUACUGUGAAGCAUCCUGUUAAGUCAGGCAACGAGCGAGACCCACGCCCACAGUUGCCAGCGUACUCUCUGGAGUGACGGGUACACUGUGGGGACCGCCUCUGCUAAAGAGGAGGAAGGAAUGGGCAACGGUAGGUCAGCAUGCCCCGAAUUAUCCGGGCUACACGCGGGCUACAAUGGUCAGGACAAUGGGCAUCAACACCGAAAGGUGAAGGCAAUCUCUUAAACCUGUCCUUAGUUCGGAUUGUGGGCUGCAACUCGCCCACAUGAAGCUGGAAUCUGUAGUAAUCGCGUCUCAAAAUGGCGCGGUGAAUAUGUCCCUGCUCCUU